rnacentral:tRNA from 1 species
GGGGUUGUGGCUCAGUGGUAGAGCACUUGUCUAGCAUGUGUGAGGCCCUGGGUUCAACUCUCAGCACCA